CCUACGGGAGGCAGCAGUCGAGGAUCUUCGGCAAUGGGCGAAAGCCUGACCGAGCGACGCCGCGUGAGCGAUGAAGGCCAUUAGGUUGUAAAGCUCUGUCGAGGGGGAACAAGCCGCAAGGUCGAGUGAUCCCUGGAGGAAGCACGGGCUAAGUUCGUGCCAGCAGCCGCGGUAAGACGAACCGUGCGAACGUUGUUCGGAAUCAUUGGGCUUAAAGGGCGCGUAGGCGGGUGUUCAAGUCCGGGGUGAAAGCCUCCAGCUCAACUGGAGAAGAGCCCCGGAUACUGUUCACCUGGAGAGAGAUAGGGGCACAUGGAACUUCCGGUGGAGCGGUGAAAUGUGUAGAGAUCGGAAGGAACGCCGGUGGCGAAAGCGAUGUGCUGGAUCUUUUCUGACGCUGAGGCGCGAAAGCUAGGGGAGCAAACGGGGAUUAGAUACCCCGGGUAGUCCCUAGCCCUAAACGAUGGGUACUGGGUUGCGGGGUUCAGGACAUAGACUCGGCAGCGACGACAAAGUAGUUAACGUACCCGUCCGUCGGGUAGGUAGUGGUCGCGAGACGUGAAACGUUAAAGUAGUAAGUUAGUACGGUUCGUUGUAGACGUUGCCGACGGCGACGACGAGGGAGAGG
rnacentral:rRNA from 1 species